UGGAUAAUCAAGCCUCAGAGUGUCGCCAAAACUAAUGAGAUGUUUCUUCCUAGGCGAAUGUCAUUUAUUUAUGACAUGGUUGGAUGCAAAGCUCUUUGUGUUGACUGAUAGAUUGAUUAAUUCUUGAAUGAGCCCUAUGAAAGCGUGAUCCAAUGUAACAACUUUGACGGAUCCGAAACAUGAUAUUGUUUCAUGGAGCACAAUUAUCACAGGAUAUGGAAGUCAUGGAAAAGGGGAGAUGGCUUUAAAGAUGUAUUCGGAUUUUCUAAUUUCAGGGAAUCAACCAAAUCGUGUCAUUUUCCUUUCUGUUCUCUUCUCUUGUAGCCACAAUGGGAUGGUUUCUAAAGGUUUGAGCUUAUUCAAUUCUAUGACUCGGGAUUUUGGAAUUAAACCAGAACUUGAGCAUCGAGCUUGCAUCGUUGAUCUGCUCUGUCGAGCUGGAAAGAUUGGGGAGGCAUAUGAAUUCAUUUGGAAAAUGUUCUCUAACCCUACAAUCGAUGUUUUGGGCAUACUUCUCGAUGCAUGUCGGAUGAAGGGUGAUGCUAAACUUGGAGAAAUUGUUGCAAGAGAUAUGAUGAUGUUGAAACCUGCAUGUGCUGGAAAUUAUGUACAACUAGCUCAUAGUUUUGCUGCUAUGAAUAAAUGGGAGGGGGUGAAUGAUGCAUGGACUCAAAUGAAGGCUCUUGGACUUAAAAAAACUCCCAGGUUGGAGUUAUACUCAGCAACAUGGGGAAAUUACCACAUUUUUUAAUGGUCAGAGUGAUCAUCCUCUCAAUGAAGAAAUGAUGUGGGUCCUGGAAAUUCUUGGUUAUCAAAUGGAAGAACUGAGGUUCAAGUUCAACCUGAGUAGCUGUGAUCUGAAUAACAUUUUCAAUGAAAUUGAUGUUUAAGGCUACGUUUGGUAGGGUGUAAAACGUUUUCAUAGAAAACGAUUUCCCCUUUUCAAUCAUUAUACGUUGUUUGGUUUGGCAAAAGAUGAAAAACAAUUUUCCAUAUCUCUCUCAAAGAUGGAAAAACCUUUUCCAUUUGAAAGGGAGGGAAACCACUUUUCCUCCUUACCCCCCUUUCCCAUUCCCUUUUCCAUUAUGUUCUCUAUUGGAGAGAGAAACUAGAUUGGAAUUGUAUUUUCCCUUGGAAAAUGUUUUCCAUGGAAAAUUAUUACACUGAAAAAGUUUUACACCAAACCAAACGGAGCCUAAAUUACAUGAAAUUUUUGGGUGAACAGGUCCUAUUCGAACAUAAUACUCAGCAUACUUGGAAAGUUAAUUUGGUGACAACAGUCUGAGUCAUUCAGUCAUCCUAAAGAUUCAUCUUCCAGCUGAUGUCUGGUACUGCAGACCUGUGUGCCAAUUACCAAGGUCUGGGGUAAAUUUCCCAAUCAAAGUAAUACUAAUUGAACAUAUAGUUGGUUAACUUGUGCAAAUAUAUAGGGAAGAUUUUAUUGUAGAAGUGAUUCUUUGACAGUAAAUCGGUUCACAUUAGAGAUGGGAAGUAUGUAUCUUAUCUGUACGUGUUCUAUAAUUCCAUUCACGUUUAUGUGUUGACAUAUUGAUGGUUAACUUGUGCACAGAUCGAUGCAGGGGUGAUUGUAUAGCUUCUACAGGUGAUUCUUUCAUCUGUAAUUGCUUCUACAGAUCAACCAUUUCUGCAGGUGUAUGUUCGAGUGUCACAAGUAUGUAACUGGGAGGAAAGUCAUGCAGGAGACAAUUGUGAAAUGAUCUUCAUGUGAUAUUAUUGAUGAUUCAAGUGGUCAUGGUAUAUGUAGAUCAAGAUCAACAAGUUAUCUUGAAGCUAAGCUAGCAUAGCAAUAGGUUUACUUGGUAAUUAGUUUGUACGUAGUCAGAAGGUAGUUUUUAUUUAGUUUUAGACUAUCUUGUAGAAGAAAUGAUGAU